rnacentral:lncRNA from 1 species
UUGCCAGCUGAUCCUAGCUUCAGGAGGUUUGCAGCGCUGGGAAAUGGUGCCGCGUGGGCAGACGAAAGGGACACGGCGCGGUGCAGGAUCACGGCUUCUCAGCCAAAGGGGAGAGGCAGAACAUGGCCUGGGAUGCAUUUCUUGAGCUGCAGCCAAACGUGUCAGCCUCCAGAGAAAUCAUAGAAUCACAGAAAACUUUGGUUUGGAAAGCACCUUAAGGAUGACCUGGUUCCAACUCACCUGCAGUGGCCAGGGACACCUUCCACUAGACCAGGUGGCCCAGAGCUCCGUCCAGCCUG